CUGAACAAGAACAAACAUGAACCAGAGUUUUGACAAACUCAACUUGUGGUAUGUUGGCUUGUUAGGCCCUGUUAGUGAGUUUUCAUGUCUCCAAUGCAUCUAUUUCAUGAAAUUAUAGGUGCUAAACUGCUAAUGAACUAAACUAGCAAUUGAGACAUAGCUGCUGCCCUUAUCCACAUGGUAGAUAUAAAAUAACAGUACUGUUGGUGUAAGAUAUUAAAGUUGAGAUAGAGAGGGUUGAUGAUUCACAUUCAGAGUUGCAGCGUAUGGAAUGAGUAUAUAGAUCAAAAGUUAAGUGAAGAAGAUGAAGAAACAUAAUUUGGAAAAAGGUGCUGGAAGAAGAUCGAGUAAUAAAUUAAAGUUGUUGUUUCUAAAGACUCGGAAGAAGAAAAGGAAGAAGAAAAAACAGACUGUUUAUUUAGAUGAUUACGGUAUGAGUGGAAUCGGAAAAGUUAAUAAUCGGAUCAAGAGCGUUUCGAGUGAAGGUAUCUUUAAAUCAAGUUGGGAUCUCCUUAUAAGUCUCACUUUCUGGAACAAGCUCUGGAAGAGGAUGAUCUGAUACUGGUGCAAAGAAUUUUGCAAGACCAAAAUCCAGGCAGGAACGGCAGGUCGAUUGGAAACGAGUGUAUGACAAGCUUUUGGAGCAAAACAAUUCCAAAAACUAGGAGUGCAACAAUCCUCUAACCUUAGUUUGCAUCCCGAUCUCUCAUAUGUGGGCUUCAAUAGGAAAACUGCUUAGUUUCACAGGUCAAGACACUUUAAUCUCACUUGAAAUGGGCAAAUAUGCGACAUGCUUGAUCCUUGGUUGUGCAACAAUCCCUCUAACCUUGUUUGCAUCCCGAUCUCUCUUAUGUGACCUUCUGUCAAGACCCUUUAAUCUCACUUGAAACGGGAAAAUAUGCGGCAUGCUUGAUCCUUGCAUUAUUCGCUUAUGCAGCUCUCCAGUGGGUAAAUCAACUAAUAGAUGGAACUAUCAACUAGCAGGAAUGUACAUGAGAGUGCUAGUAAUGGUUGGAGAAGAGAACUAGUGUAACUGGUGGUCCUAUUUUUCGGAACUUACUUUUAUCAUUUUCAUAUGGGUUUUACCCAAGAACGGGAAGAUAAUCUCGCUUGCUGGCCUGAAGGAUUUGUAGAUGAACGCUAUAAAAACGCUACCUUGUCUAUUGCCUGUGCAAUAUAUGAGAACUGGAAGCUAAAUGGAAAAGACAUCACUAUACACCCCACGAUACAAAUGAAAUGCCCCAGCAGAUAAACCCAGUAAGUUAACCGACGAAGAGUGGAAGAAUUCCGUGAAAUUUUCAGACCACAUAAAGAGCAUCAGUCAUAUCAAGAGCAGAAGCCAUCAGAAAGCCAAACACACAAUGGGAGGAAAAACUCUUGUCACUGCAAACCUGAAAUGGGAUGCAAAGUUACAAUAUCAGGAUUGACAAGAGUUGUUGUACUCUUGGACACGAUAAAAGAUGAGAACGGCUCCAAUUGUGGGAUGUUCGAAGUUCAUCCGCCUUUUGAUUAGCAAGAUGUUAGGGUACCGACCCUAAACUCGUCAUAAGCCCAUGGAUAGAACUCAACUCGAAAACCGGUUGAUUAGACGAGGGAACUCAUUGACUUAUAAACUACUAAUUAAGCCCCAUCUAACCAAUAUGGGAUUAGUAUCCCAACAAUUUGUCUUCAUCUUAUUGUUUCGUUUUGAUUUUGGUAUCAAAAUGCAUCUCAAAAAGCUGUUCCAUGAUUCAUUUUGCUCCAUUAUUGUGAUUGUACUCUGCCAACCAUAAACAUCAUCCUCACUUGCCCCUGGUCCAAUGAGCUAAGCCAGCAAUAGGUUGCCUUUAUCCACUAGGUAGGUACAUGGUAAGUAUAAAUGUGAGAUCCCUAUAAAAGAAAGGGAAAGUAUCAAUUGGGAGACAUAAUUUUUUCAGCCAUCAAAUGAUUCAAAUCGGGAACCGGAAGACCUAAAACAAAUCCUACAUCUAACGAAGGAAAUGAUGAGUAGAUAGAUGAGAUCAAUUGAGUUACUGGUUGAUGAUGAAGAAACAUAAUCAAAGAUAUGGAAGAAGAAGAAGAAGGUGUUGGAAGAAUUUUUUUGAGAUACAAAUCAAAGUUGUUUGGGUUUUUAAAGAUUCAGAAGACCAAAAAGAAGAAGAAACAAAAUGGUUUAUUAUGUACUCAUUUUGGUAUUUGCGGAUUCGGAAAACUUAACGUGCUAUUAUAGACACUAAUCUGAACGGUAUUGGGUCCAAUGUUGACUGCUAUGAUUAUUUCAGAAAUCAAUAUCCCGGGAUUUUGAUGCAUCUGUACACUUGCCUGGAAUUGCACUACUGGGAUUGGGCAAGCAUCGAUGAUUCAUUUCACGCCCACAUUAGGCCUUGUGUGUGUUCAGCUUAUCAUGGUGUUAAUUAGAUAUGCAUGAAUCUGAAGUUUCAAGCAUUUGUUGUGGUAAUAGCUGUAUCACAGGAAAGUGGACACCCUCUGCAAAAAAUGGUUAAAAAUUUAUCCAUCAUUAGUGGCAGGAACAAGAACAAGCUCAUCUGGUCAAAAUGAGGUGGAAUUUCAUAACUAGGUUCAAGAAAGCUGGGUCAAAACCAUGUUUCAUUCCUUCUUUGAUGCCGUCACAGCUCACUAGCUUUGGAAAAAUUGGGUUAAAACGAGGUACCUUCCAACCGCAAUAUCAAGAGUAGAAGCCACCAGAAAGCAAAACGCUCAGUAGUUAAGAAAAACUUCCUUCGCUAAGAAGCUGAAAAGUUGCAGCUCUGAUUGUGGCACCCGCCUUUGAAUAAGGAUGGUUCCAAUGAUUGUAAAAUUCCGGUCCAUGUUGUCAAACAAUGGAACAAGAAAGGCUUCCGAAGAUGGGUUUGUCAGUCUUGCCUCGUUGUUCAAAUUCUGACUCGUGGCAUAGCCAGUCCAUAGAGGGUUAUUAGGCCUUGCGAGUCAGUUAUCAUGUAUACAAUGUCUAAAUUUAAGCUUUGGUACUCAGAAUUUGUACGUCAUGUAGUAUUAGUUGUGAAAUGAACAAUUUAGUGAACAUCGAUCUUGCUAGCAAAAGUUAC